UUUAGCUCAAUAAUAAAUUUAAUUCGAUUCUUAUGGAAUGAACGGAGCAAAAAAAAAAAGGAUCCGGCGACUAAAUCCGACUACCUGAAGUAUUUCGGCGCCGGAAGUCCGCCAACGAGAAAGCCUUUCCACCGGAAGUAAUUGUUUUGGGUCCGCCAAUCGGAGGUAAUGCGGAAACUUAUUGCGUUUUGUAAAUGUGGUUUUCUAUCUUUGGGUCCGCCAUCUUGCGCUGCAUCUGGUCACCUCUCGACAAACUUGCUCGCCUCAAACAGGAGCUACGGUGAGCCCUAAAGGACAAAUGAAUAUCAAACAGAUGUGACUGUCUGCUGAGGUAUUCAAACUUUAGGAUGUGUGUGUUUUUUCUUUUUCAGUGAAAUGAAACGCAGUAAAUCCACAGACGUCUGACCUCAGAUCUGCUGAUGAGUCCCUGCUGAGUGAAGAUUAAGAUGGUCUUUAUUAUUUAUAUUUCAUGUUUGUGAUCAUGAGUCUCACAGUAGUCAUAAAGUGUAUGUAAUAAUACAUUUUUGCCAUUUUUAAUGAUGUUUUUAAGUUAUUUGUGCUGCUGCAGGUUUUCACUGACUGAUCUCAUUCAAGAAAAUGUUAUUACUCAGCCAUGAUGAGAUCAUUAUGAUAACAUGAGUGCUGCGUCCGAACUGCCCGCUCGGAUACUACAUGCUACUGCUACGUGCUACUGCUAGAUCCUACUCCUACAUACUAAAAA